CUCAGAGAUCAGGUACAAGAGCAAUAAACAAUCAUGUAUGGGAAGUAGAGUGGGCUCCAAUCAAGGAACUGGCUGUAUGUAUUGGUCUUGAUUUAGGAAUCCUUAUGGCACAUUACCUGCAAUGUGUCUUCCAUUUUCUCCCUUUUUGAAUAAAAGAGUCUGCAAUGGCUCUUCUGUCCCUGGCUUAUAGCAGUAACUCUAUGUUAGAAGAAACAAUGGGGGUAAUUUGUCCCUUUACUUCCUAGUUUAUAGGUCUUUGGAUUGAGAGGAGCCACUCCUAAGGGGUCUUGUUGUCACCCGAACCUUGUCUUCAAGCCCGAUAGUACAAUUAGAUAAGAAAACUGAAGCAUUAAACAUCUUGUGAUUUUCUCAAAUUGGUGUUUCAGUUGCUUAUUGCUUUAUCAACCAAGAAAUGGAACAGUACCUCUGCUCACAAAAUAAGCAUAAAUGUUAAAGACCCAUAAAAAAUUGUCUCAACAGCCUGAGCCAUCACAUAAAAGUUUGACUGCUCUCAUGGAGAAACCACAUGGAAGGAUCACCUGGAGAAGAAAUGUUUUGAAAACACAUACAGAAGAAAAGACAUCCAGCUAUCUUAGCAUCCCAGAGACCUGUAGAACUAUUCAGCUGAGCUCACUGAAACCAGAACCAUGAGAGAUGAUAAAAUGUUUGUUGUCUGAAUCAACUACAUUUCGAAAUGUCAUUUCACAAAAUAUUGAGUAGUGUUUCCUUGUAUGAAUAUACUACAUUUUUAAAAGCCAACUUUUCCUUUUAGAAAUUAAAAGCAACAUGCAGAAGAUGAAAUGCGUGACUUCAAAGAUUCCGUGGUUUUUCAAAUUCUAAUUGUGCUUGACCGCUGAAAUGUAGUAAAGUAAAAAGAGUCCUAGACUGGAAAUUGAGAGAUCUGGGUUUUAUUUUCUACCCUGUCAAAAGCUAUCUGAUGACCUCAAGCAAGUAAGAUUCAGAUUUUAGAUUUAAGUUUUUAAGUUCAAUGAGAAAUUGAACUGUAAAGUGAGAAUUUGGUCUCAAUUUGGAACUUUUCUAGGGCUAACAUUUUAUAACUCUAGAUUUAAAUCACCUAGAACAGUAGUUCUCAAAAAGCUAGGGAGUGUCUUCAUUUUGUAGAAAUAUCUUUCUGAUUUCUGGCGGAUAAACAUCUCCCUUGGCAUUUAAACUCAGUUUUGUCCCACCCUCAUUGCUAUGAAAUCACCCCACUCCAAAUGUUCUCAAACACCCUCAGGGGGGCUUAACAUCCUAUGUUGAGAAUCUAAUUCUCAAUUUCUACAAAGUCAGCUUUUUGAGAGUAUGUAAAUGAGUUUGGAGAUAACUAAUUUUUUAAAAAAUUAAGUCUUCUAAUCCAAGAACAUAUUAUAUCUUUCCAUAUAUUUUGUUUUUAUUUUUCUAUGCAAUUUUGAUUGAUUUUCAAAAUAGAAGUUAUCCAUAUUUUCAUGAAUUUAUUUCUAGGCAUUUUAUGUUUCUAAAAAUAUGGAGUUUUUAAUUUAUUUUUUCAGUAGGUUCCAGCUAGUAUAUAGAUAUAAAUUGGAAUUUUUAAUAAUGAUAAUAAAUUUAAUUACUUAGCUAAUUUCUCUCUUUUUAAAAUUUCUUAGGAUUUUAUCUUUGACAAGUUUGUUGUUUUCUAGUAGACAGUUUAAUUUUGUCCUUUCCAAGCUGAUUAUACUUUAUUUCUUUUUCUUGUAUAUUGCAAUGGCUGGGAACCCCGUUCUAAUGUUGAAUAGAGAUAGUGAAAUAGCCUUGGCUUGUUCCUGAACUCAGUAGAAUCAAAUCUAGUUUUUCAUCAUUAAUAUGAUGUGAUAAUUUUGUAGAUGUGCUUUAUCUGUUUGAGGAAGCUCCUUUCUAUUCCUAAUUUGCCAAAAAUUUUUAUGUAGAAUAGCUUUUGGGUUUUGACAAAUGAGAUUAUGGAAUCUGUAAUUUUGUUUUCUUAUUGUGUUAAUUUGGUGGGCUAUGUUGAUUGAUUUUUAAAUGUUAAAUCAGGUGAGAUAAACCCUACUUGGUUGUAAUGUAUUAUCUUUUGAGUUGCUAGAUUUAAUUUACUAAUAUUUUGUUAAAAUUAAUUAAAUUAUAACCUUUCGAUAUGUAUUAAAUAUUUUAUGCAGCA
rnacentral:lncRNA from 10 species